GAACAGAGUCUUUCAAAUUGCGUUUUUGUAAUUUACAUUUACUAAUUAGCAAGAAACAGAUCAGUUAUGUCUGGACAUGGUAAAGGCAAUUCAUUAGACAAAGGUGGAUCAGGUGAAAAAACAGACAAAAGUGGCAAAUCUGGAAAACCAGAAAGUAGUGCACCUUCUGGAAAUGACGAUUUUGGUCCUGAACCAGUGGUUGUAAAUAUAAUGACUAAUGUGGGGAAGUAAAACAAGGAUGAAGCCAAAUUUUCGAAAUGCUAGGCAACAGAUUUGGUAGAAAUUUUUCAAACAUUUAUUUAGUAACUUAAUUUUCCACUUCUUUUUCACAUGUUUAAAAGUUCUUGUAUUGAUAUAAAAAUUCAAUAAAAUCAUUUUCACUUUC